GGCGAGAGACCGAUAGCGAACAAGUACCGUGAGGGAAAGAUGAAAAGAACUUUGAAAAGAGAGUUAAACAGUACGUGAAAUUGUUGAAAGGGAAACGAUUGAAGCCAGUCGUACCGUCGGGAAAUCAACUUUUUGAGCGCUUGUCGUGGGUGACUUUGAGCUUCGCGGCCUUCGUUGCUUUGCGUUAUGGUGCUUUUGGGGUGUACUUUUCCGUAUGGUAGGUCAAUAUCGAUUUUGAUCGUCAUAAAA
rnacentral:rRNA from 2 species